GAUGAACGCUGGCGACGUGCCUAAUACAUGCAAGUCGAGCGAACAGACGAGGAGCUUGCUCCUCUGACGUUAGCGGCGGAAGGGUGAGUAACACGUGGAUAACCUACCUAUAAGACUGGGAUAACUUCGGGAAACCGGAGCUAAUACCGGAUAAUAUAUUGAACCGCAUGGUUCAAUAGUGAAAGACGGUUUUGCUGUCACUUAUAGAUGGAUCCGCGCCGCAUUAGCUAGUUGGUAAGGUAACGGCUUACCAAGGCGACGAUGCGUAGCCGACCUGAGAGGGUGAUCGGCCACACUGGAACUGAGACACGGUCCAGACUCCUACGGGAGGCAGCAGUAGGGAAUCUUCCGCAAUGGGCGAAAGCCUGACGGAGCAACGCCGCGUGAGUGAUGAAGGUCUUCGGAUCGUAAAACUCUGUUAUUAGGGAAGAACAAAUGUGUAAGUAACUAUGCACGUCUUGACGGUACCUAAUCAGAAAGCCACGGCUAACUACGUG
rnacentral:rRNA from 1 species